rnacentral:rRNA from 1 species
GUUCGAUCCUGGCUCGGAAUGAACGCUAGAAAUAUGCUUUAACACAUGCGAGUCAAAUCUUAAUGAUUAAAUGCGAAUUUAAUUAUUAUAUUAAGUUGGCGUCCGGGUGCGUAAUAUAUGAAAAUUUACCCAAUAGAUUAGGAAAUUAAAAUACUAUAAUAAAAGAUUUAUCACUAUUGGAUGUUUUUGUACAUGAUUAGGUAGUUGGUUAGGUAAAAGCUGACCAAGCCGAUGAUCGUUAGUUGGUCUUAGCGGAUGAUCAGCCACAUUGGAACUGAAAUACGGUCCAAACUCUAGAAGCGGAGGCUGCAGUGGGGAAUAUUGGACAAUGAGCGAAAGCUUGAUCCAGCAAUAUUUUGUUGUUUUAGCAAUGUAAAAGUUGCGGGGACAAUGUUGUUAGCUAAAUUUAAAGAAAUAAAUACGUGAAGAGAUUAUGACAAAAGACUAAAGAGGAAG